UACGUAGGGGGCAAGCGUUGUCCGGAAUCAUUGGGCGUAAAGCGCGCGUAGGCGGCUCGAUCAGUCUGCUGUGAAAGUCAAAGGCUCAACCUUUGAAUGCCGGUGGAUACUGUCGAGCUAGAGUCCGGAAGAGGCGAGUGGAAUUCCUGGUGUAGCGGUGGAAUGCGCAGAUAUCGGGAAGAACACCCGUGGCGAAGGCGGUUCUACUGGGACGGUACUGACGCUGAGACGCGAAAGCGUGGGGAGCGAACAGG
rnacentral:rRNA from 1 species